rnacentral:rRNA from 1 species
GAGAACCUGCACACAGGUGCUGCAUGGCUGUCGUCAGCUCGUGUCGUGAGAUGUUGGGUUAAGUCCCGCAACGAGCGCAACCCUUGCCAUUAGUUGCUACGAAAGGGCACUCUAAUGGGACUGCCGGUGGCAAACCGGAGGAAGGUGGGGAUGACGUCAAGUCCUCAUGGCCCUUAUAGGUGGGGCUACACACGUCAUACAAUGGCCGGUACAGAGGGUAGCCAACCCGCGAGGGGGAGCCAAUCCCACAAAGCCGGUCGUAGUCCGGAUCGCAGUCUGCAACUCGACUGCGUGAAGUCGGAAUCGCUAGUAAUCGCGGAUCAGCAUGUCGCGGUGAAUACGUUCCCGGGUCUU